GACGAACGCUGGCGGCGUGCUUAACACAUGCAAGUCGAACGGAAAGGCCCUGCUUUUGUGGGGUGCUCGAGUGGCGAACGGGUGAGUAACACGUGAGUAACCUGCCCUUGACUUUGGGAUAACAUCAGGAAACUGGGGCUAAUACCGGAUAGGAGCUCCUGCUGCAUGGUGGGGGUUGGAAAGUUUCGGCGGUUGGGGAUGGACUCGCGGCUUAUCAGCUUGUUGGUGGGGUAGUGGCUUACCAAGGCUUUGACGGGUAGCCGGCCUGAGAGGGUGACCGGCCACAUUGGGACUGCGAUACGGCCCAGACUCCUACGGGAGGCAGCAGUGGGGAAUAUUGCACAAUGGGCGGAAGCCUGAUGCAGCAACGCCGCGUGCGGGAUGACGGCCUUCGGGUUGUAAACCGCUUUCGCCUGUGACGAAGCGUGAGUGACGGUAAUGGGUAAAGAAGCACCGGCUAACUACGUG
rnacentral:rRNA from 1 species